rnacentral:piRNA from 1 species
UCUUGAACAAGGAUAGCAUGCAGAA